AUCGCUUCCCGGCCUUUUGGCUAAGAUCAAAGUGUAGUAUCUGUCCUUAUCAGUUUAAUAUCUGAUACAUCCUCUAUCUGAGGACAGUAUAUUAAAUGGAUUUUUGAGCGGGGAGAUGGAAGAGGAGCUUCCUCUGUCCAUUCCACACAUUGACCUGGUAGUGCUGUAUUUCCAGGAAUGGUGCCCGCCCC